GACGAACGCUGGCGGCGUGCCUAAUACAUGCAAGUCGAACGAACCGCGACUAAGUGCUUGCACUAAGUCAAGGUGAGUGGCGAACGGGUGAGUAACACGUGGGUAACCUACCUCAUAGUGGGGGAUAACAGUCGGAAACGACUGCUAAUACCGCAUAGGACAUAGGAUCACAUGAUCCAGUGAGGAAAGGUGGCGCAAGCUAUCGCUAAGAGAUGGACCCGCUGUGCAUUAGCUAGUUGGUAGGGUAAAGGCCUACCAAGGCGAUGAUGCAUAGCCGACCUGAGAGGGUGAUCGGCCACAUUGGGACUGAGACACGGCCCAAACUCCUACGGGAGGCAGCAGUAGGGAAUCUUCCGCAAUGGACGCAAGUCUGACGGAGCAACGCCGCGUGAGUGAAGAAGGUCUUCGGAUCGUAAAGCUCUGUUGUUAGAGAAGAACAGCGCAUAGAGUAACUGCUAUGCGUGUGACGGUAUCUAACCAGAAAGCCACGGCUAACUACGUG
rnacentral:rRNA from 1 species